UACGGAGGGUGCAAGCGUUGUCCGGAUUUAUUGGGUUUAAAGGGUGCGUAGGCGGCUGAUUAAGUCUGGGGUGAAAGCCCGUUGCUCAACAACGGAACUGCCCUGGAAACUGGUUAGCUUGAGUACAGACGAGGGUGGCGGAAUGGAUGCUGUAGCGGUGAAAUGCAUAGAUAGCAUCCAGAACCCCCGAUUGCGAAGGCAGCGUGCCUA
rnacentral:rRNA from 1 species